AAACUUUCAACAACGGAUCUCUUGGUUCCGGCAUCGAUGAAGAACGCAGCGAAAUGCGAUAAGUAAUGUGAAUUGCAGAAUUCCGUGAAUCAUCGAAUCUUUGAACGCACAUUGCGCCCCCUGGUAUUCCGGGGGGCAUGCCUGUCCGAGCGUCAUUA
rnacentral:rRNA from 1 species